rnacentral:lncRNA from 1 species
AAAAACAAAGAAAAACAUGCAAUCCACGCAUAGUAUUUUCACAUUUACUUCAAAACAUAUUUUACACAUACUGUCACAAAAAAUUAAAAAAAAAAUAUAAUUAUUCGUUCACAUGUUUAUAUAUCAAAUCACUGUUCUUCAAUUUCCAGUCAUGACAUAAGCAUGUACUCAUCUUCUAUACUCACAAAUCACAGAAUACAUCAUACACAGUAAGAAUAUGAAAGAAAAUUAGUCGGGAAAAGAAUUUUUAGACGGGUAAGUUCCGGUGAAAGCUGUAUAAUUUUCCAGCGUAGUUAUUGCCGAAAAACGUUAAAAACAGCGAUCAAAAUUAUCGCUCAUCACCGAAAAAGCCAUCAAAAUCCGACACAAUGGUCGAUUCCGGUGGUAAUUCGCCGAAAAAAAUCCUUUGAAACAGUCACCGAAUUAGAUCCGGUGACCACCAUUACACCGGAAACCAACCGGCAAAAUCCAGCGCCGCCGGCGUCUCCCCCUUCCCCUUUCUCUGUUGCUACUUCAUUCCAGGCGGAAAAACCACUGCCAGCCAUAUGAAAAUGGCUCAGAUAUCGCUGGAAAACACAAAAUCCGGCAACCACUAUCAUGCCGGUGCCUUCCCCUUUUCCAUUUUCCCACCGAAAAAUAGUCCACCGGAUCCGGCGCCAUCCCUCUUUUCUCCAAACUCGCUGGCUACCGUCAGUUUCAGUAUCAACGUUUUUUUUUUCUUCUCUAUACUUUUUUUUCUUAUAAAAAGAGUGUUAAGUAAUGUUAAUAUAUGUAUAUUGUUGUUUAAAUAAAUAGAAAAUAUUUCUUGUAAGUAUCCUGCUUAGUGGUUGACUGUAUAGUGUUUGGG